rnacentral:rRNA from 1 species
GACGUAGGGCGCGAGCGUUGUCCGGAUUUAUUGGGCGUAAAGAGCUCGUAGGCGGCUUGUCGCGUCGAAUGUGAAAUCUCAGGGCUCAACUCUGACAUUGCAUUCGAUACGGGCAGGCUAGAGUUCGGUGGGGGAGACUGGAAUUCCUGGUGUAGCGGUGAAAUGCGCAGAUAUCAGGAGGAACACCGGUGGCGAAGGCGGGUCUCUGGGCCGAUACUGACGCUGAGGAGCGAAAGCGUGGGGAGCGAACAGG